GUCUUUUUUGUACUUUUUGUGUGCUAGUGAGGUGGCGUCUACGUUCAGCAUGGAUAGCAUGGCCAUGCUGGAGUAGUUAGGAGUACUUGAGAUCGGCCUUCAUUUCCUGUUUCGCAAGCUAAAUUCCAUCAUGGCUGGAGCCGUGGUGUGGAGCAGUGCGCUGCUGUGCCUUCCUGCCGACUGGACGGCGGGGCAAAUGCACCGGAUGGCCGGCGUUCUCGCCGGUGACCAAGCUGGGUUCUGCCCGGGCAGCAACGUUGUUCCGGAUCGUCGAGGGAUACACGGGGGUCACACACACACACAGGUUUACACCCGCAACUCUAGUUUUAAGGACGCCAACUAGGUUUAGUUCGCCAAUAUAGAUGUAAGUACGCUAAAA